ACUCCUACGGGAGGCAGCAGUGGGGAAUAUUGCACAAUGGGCGCAAGCCUGAUGCAGCCAUGCCGCGUGUAUGAAGAAGGCCUUCGGGUUGUAAAGUACUUUCAGCAGUGAGGAAGGUGGGUAUGUUAAUAGCAUAUUCAUUUGACGUUAGCUGCAGAAGAAGCACCGGCUAACUCCGUGCCAGCAGCCGCGGUAAUACGGAGGGUGCGAGCGUUAAUCGGAAUUACUGGGCGUAAAGCGCAUGCAGGUGGUUUGUUAAGUCAGAUGUGAAAAGCCCGGGGCUCAACCUCGGAAUUGCAUUUGAAACUGGCAAACUAGAGUACUGUAGAGGGGGGUAGAAUUUCAGGUGUAGCGGUGAAAAUGCGUAGAGAUCUGAAGGAAUACCGGUGGCGAAGGCGGCCCCCUGGACAGAUACUGACACUCAGAUGCGAAAGCGUGGGGAGCAAACAGGAUUAGAUACCCUGGUAAGGCUACU
rnacentral:rRNA from 1 species